UGAAAUAAGGUAAGGUUAUCGUUUAGGCUCAUGCCCUAAAUUUCAUAGGUUCAAUUCCUAUUAUUUCAA
rnacentral:tRNA from 1 species